UGAUGCAUGGGGUUGCAGUGAGUUUCCUAAUCUGGUUGACUUCUGUCCCCGCUCCUCUCUGACAGGCUCUCUUCUGGUGUUUUCCCUGCUGAGACCUCACAGGCACCUCAGAAGCCUUCAUCCACACUGAGCGCGAGUGAAACCCCGCGGGGAUGUGGCAGCGGUGGGCUGCGAAGUGUGCCCGUGCCCUUGGUGGAGGUGCCUGUGUUGCAGCAGCUUUCGGAGAGCGUUUAUCUGAGCCUCGUGGUGUCUGCAGCAGCCAUCCAUUGCACCGGCACAGCGUCCAAACUGCAGCGUCCUCCACCGCUGGAGGGCUGAGCGAAGGCUGCAGGGAAGGGUCUGUGUACACAAAGUACUCACCGAGGUUUCUGACAUUUUCUACAGAUGGAGCUUCAACGCAGGAUGGCAAACCAGGGGAAAUGGGUGUGGAGUGAACAAGAAGCCUCUUUGCCAUCCCUCUGGCUGCUCCCACUGCAGGGCAAGACCCGUGUGGCCCCAUCACCCGAUACAGGUGCAGGUUUGCAAUGUCCUCCGUCCAGCCGGGGCUGACUCAGCCAGCUCAGAGCUUCUCAUCUGGGGAUCCUUUUUCCUCCUUUCUCCUGAAGGAGCUGGCUUGGUCCCUAUCCCAGGCAGGAGAGGGCCCUUCUGUUCCUCAUGCCCCUCGCACCCCUCUGGCUGAGGCGCUUGUUGCAGGAGCCCGGAGGAACGUUCAGCAAUUGUCUGUUCUGGCCCCAAAUCCCUGGCAC
rnacentral:lncRNA from 1 species